AACGCGAAGAACCUUACCAGGUCUUGACAUCGAGUGACGAGCUUAGAGAUAGGCUCUUCCCUUCGGGGACACAAAGACAGGUGGUGCAUGGUUGUCGUCAGCUCGUGUCGUGAGAUGUUGGGUUAAGUCCCGCAACGAGCGCAACCCUUAUUAUUAGUUGCUACAUUCAGUUGAGCACUCUAAUGAGACUGCCGUUGACAAAACGGAGGAAGGUGGGGAUGAGGUCAAAUCAUCAUGCCCUUUAUGAUCUGGGCUACACACGUACUACAAUGGCAUUUAACAGCGAGGAGCAAAGCGGUGACGCGGAGCAAAUCUCCAAAAGGUGCCUCAGUUCGGAUUGCAGGCUGAAACUCGCCUGCAUGAAGUCGGAAUUGCUAGUAAUCGCGAAUCAGCAUGUCGCGGUGAAUACGUUCCCGGGUCUUGUACACACCG
rnacentral:rRNA from 1 species